GGAAAUAUGAACUCGAUAGCAAGGCAUUUGUCUUCCAUCUUUGGAAGUCAGGGCAUCAACUCGCUGAGUCGGGAGCUCCAGGCUUAUCAGAUUCAACAAUGGCGGGGGAUCCGGGGGAAGGUAUUUAAUGGAAACUUGGAGCAUGCUUUGACCGUGAUGCAGAGGAAGAUGCAAUCGAGCGGGAUCGAACGGUUGAUAAAGCGCGAGCAGCUUCACCACAUCAAGAAUUCUGAGAAGCGCGUUUUGGCACGCAAAAAUCUCCAGCGCAAGAUUAAAUCCCAGGAAUAUUGUCGUAAGCUUAAAGCCCUGCUCAUGAAGAAAGUCAGGGGUCUAUGAGAGCAGCUUUGGAGUAUCUUUCUUGGCCUGAAGGAAAUAUACAAGGUGCUUAAUUUGCAAUUGUUCUUUUGAUUCUUGCAGAGUUCAGGGGUUUCUUGCAAUUUUCAGCGUAUGUUCAUUUGGUAGCUUACAUGGCUUUGUAAUCAAUAUGCAGUUUAGUUUGCUUUCGGUGAAUUUUUGAUGAAUUUCAUGCCUUUUGAGACUCCAUUCAUUACAUGCAAUGGUAUGUGAAUUUUUACCGAGGCCUGCAACAUAAAGUGAGAAACAGAGAUCACUUACCAUACUGACCAGG
rnacentral:misc_RNA from 1 species